UACGUAGGCAGCGAGCGUUGUUCGGAAUUACUGGGCGUAAAGAGUGUGUAGGCGGUGCUCUAAGUUCGGUGUGAAAUCUCCCGGCUUAACUGGGAGGGUGCGCCGGAAACUGGAGUGCUCGAGCGUGGGAGAGGAAAGCGGAAUUCCUGGUGUAGCGGUGAAAUGCGUAGAUAUCAGGAGGAACACCUGCGGUGUAGACGGCUUUCUGGACCAUUGCUGACGCUGAGACACGAAAGCGUAGGUAGCAAACAGG
rnacentral:rRNA from 1 species